rnacentral:rRNA from 1 species
GACGAACGCUGGCGGCGUGCUUUACACAUGCAAGUCGAACGGUGAAAGGGGAGCUUGCUCCCCUGGAUCAGUGGCGAACGGGUGAGUAACACGUGGGCAACCUGCCCCAGACUCUGGGAUAACUCCUCGAAAGAGGCGCUAAUACCGGAUACGAGCCCUGCAGGCAUCUGCGGGGUUGGAAAGUUUUUUCGGUCUGGGAUGGGCCCGCGGCCUAUCAGCUAGUUGGUGAGGUAGUGGCUCACCAAGGCGACGACGGGUAGCCGGCCUGAGAGGGCGACCGGCCACACUGGGACUGAGACACGGCCCAGACUCCUACGGAAGGCAGCAGUGGGGAAUAUUGCACAAUGGGCGCAAGCCUGAUGCAGCAACGCCGCGUGAGGGAUGACGGCCUUCGGGUUGUAAACCUCUUUUAGUAGGGAAGAAGCGAAAGUGACGGUACCUGCAGAAAAAGCACCGGCUAACUACGUGCCAGCCGCCGCAGUAA